rnacentral:lncRNA from 1 species
UAUAUAUUUAUAUAUAUAUAUAUAUAUAUAUAUAUAUAUAUAUAUAUAUAUAUAUAUAUAGUGUAAAUGCACAUGAGUGAACCAUUUGCAUAUAAUAAUAUUUUCUAAGAUAAGAUUAAAAUAAAUUUCGAAAUGUAAAAUUUAAAGAACUUAACAGUUUGACGACGAGAAUGAUACCACUGUAAGGGUUUAGGAAUAAUGCUCGAGCAAUGCAAUUGGUGAAUUAUUUGUUGUAUUUCUAAAAGAGCAAAUGCGCGACUUAUAAAUGUGAAAAGUUACAUUAGUGAUGAAUUAUUUAUCGUGUAUAAAAAUGAAUGUACGAAAAAAUAAUAAUAAUAAAUGUCUAUGGAUGUUAGUGUUUGUUAUAUAUAUG